rnacentral:rRNA from 1 species
GAUGAACGCUGGCGGCGUGCCUAAUACAUGCCAGUCGAGCGAACAGACGAGGAGCUUGCUCCUCUGUCGUUAGCGGCGGACGGGUGAGUAACACGUGGAUAACCUACCUAUAAGACUGGGAUAACUUCGGGAAACCGGAGCUAAUACCGGAUAACAUGUUGAACCGCAUGGUUCAACAGUGAAAGACGGUCUUGCUGUCACUUAUAGAUGGAUCCGCGCCGCAUUAGCUAGUUGGUAAGGUAACGGCUUACCAAGGCAACGAUGCGUAGCCGACCUGAGAGGGUGAUCGGCCACACUGGAACUGAGACACGGUCCAGACUCCUACGGGAGGCAGCAGUAGGGAAUCUUCCGCAAUGGGCGAAAUCCUGACGGAGCAACGCCGCGUGAGUGAAGAAGGUCUUCGGAUCGUAAAACUCUGUUAUUAGGGAAGAACAAAUGUGUAAGUAACUAUGCACGUCUUGACGGUACCUAAUCAGAAAGCCACGGCUAACUACGUG